UCUUUAUCAUCUGUUGGCAGAUGGCAAAGAGACCAAAUAGGCAUUAAUUAUGUUUCUUCUUAUAUCAAUUCAUUUUCACAGAAAAUCAAACACAGAUAUAUAUAUAUAUCCAUGAACACAUAUCCAACACAUGUUACCAAUAGCCAUGAACACAUAUCCAACACAUGUUACCAAUAGUCAUGAACACAUAUAUAUCCAACACAUAUCCAUGAACACAUAUCCAACACAUAUUACAAGGAGCCAAAGGAGAGAACCAAUACCAAAGGAGAGAACCAGCACCACACUUGCACAUGGUAUUUUUCUGCAAUUAGGGCACUGCACCCACAAGCACUUGGGGCUAGUACCAUUAUAAACUGCUAAAAAAAUCACUGAUGCAUCUUCACACACGCUACUUGUGAGCCUAGCCUAAUUAAAUGGCCAUCUCUUUUACUUCCAUGAUAGUGGCUGAAAUGUCAGAUAUACAAGAAAGGAAAUCAUUUACUUGUGAAUAUUCUAAAUGAAGAGCAGAACCUAGAAUAUUUUGCCUUUGCCAACAUAAAUAAAUUGAGAACGAAGAUGAUAGUUUCAAGUGACAACUCACCAUUUCCCUUUGGUAGCACGCCAAGGAAGCACUCUCUUGACUGUGACCCCCCGAUCACAUUCAGUUCCGCUCCCUGCAGGCACAAGAAUUUUCUUUCUAUUCCAUUUCGCACCAUAUCUCAGCCAUCAUUCACCAUGCAUCUGGACAACUUCGGACCCAGCAAGGUUUUUUCUACAAAGAUCAAAGUGCUAAUAUAAGUUGUUAGGAGAAAAAGUGAAUUUUAUGGCACAUGUACUCUGUUCCCACCACAUGUAAAUUUUAGGAGGAAAAGCCAGCUACAGCCAUGAACCACAAAUACUAACCAAUCUCCACAAAUAUGAAAAUAUUGCAAUGAAUACAUGUUGCACGCCACUGCAGCCUGCAUCACUUCAUUAAAAACAUCACCACUUUCAUAGUAGCAAGAUACAAGCACUUACUCUUAUUCUAAAUAUAGGAAACAAGCAUCCAACCAGCAGAAUGGUGAAAUGUCAGUUCAUCGAAAACUGUUUGUUUGUUCAACAAGUAGAAUAUAUCAAGGGAAAGGGUAAGAAUCUAGAUUUAUUUUCUUUUAUCUUGCAUGGCUGCUACAAGUGUGAAUCAAGCUAUACAUUGCAACUGAAAUAUGGAUUUACAUAAUGUAUAAUUGUAAGUGCAUAACAUCCAAAUGGACAGAACGGUAGCAUAGAUGGAUAUCUAAACUAAAAUAAGCAUGUUCAAGUCUUAUCAAAUAGAACAACCAUAGGAGCAUGAUCAUGUCCAAAUAACCAAUAUUAAAGCAUAGAGCAAUGACUAGUAGAAUUUAAACAGGAAACAUGGUUUUCCAAAACAUAAAUUCAGAUUUGUGCAGGUUGCCCAGACUAUAUGACCAGUUUAGGAAUUACUAUAAUCAAGGAAGGAGGCCUUUUUCAAGAGCCAGCGUACUCGGAUAUCGUCCUUAUGAUUCAUCACAACAAACAAUUAACUAAACGCAAAAUUGUUAGCGAUGCAUAUAUUUUGCAUAUCAAUGCAAGGGAACAAAAACAAAACUCUGUGAUGGGGAUCAUGGAAGGUUCUUUGCUCAUAAUUUAUGAUCUGUUUAGGAUUUAUAAUCAAAGAAGGGACCUUUUUUAAGAGCCGCCUUGCUAUACUGUCCUAGUGAUUCAUGACAGCAAACUAUUCAGUUAACAAAAGAUAUCAGCUAAGCAUGAACUUUGGAAACUUCUGUGCAGCAUACACUAUAAUCACUCCUUAGGUGGUAGAAAGGGGAAGGAAUGAGAGGAGGGAUACCUCGGCCAGGACCUCGUCUACGACCUGCAGCUCAUUGGGAAGGGGUCAAAGCUGCUGCUGCAAGCUCCCACUCCGCUUAU
rnacentral:lncRNA from 1 species